rnacentral:rRNA from 1 species
GGAAUCUUCCACAAUGGACGCAAGUCUGAUGGAGCAACGCCGCGUGAGUGAAGAAGGUCUUCGGAUCGUAAAACUCUGUUGUUAGAGAAGAAUACGAGUGAGAGUAACUGUUCAUUCGAUGACGGUAUCUAACCAGCAAGUCACGGCUAACUACGUGCCAG